AUACGGAGGGGGCUAGCGUUGUUCGGAAUUACUGGGCGUAAAGCGCACGUAGGCGGCGCACGCAGUCAGAGGUGAAAGGCCUGGGCUCAACCCAGGAACUGCCUUUGAUACUGGUGUGCUAGAGUCCGGGAGAGGGUAGCGGAAUUCCCAGUGUAGAGGUGAAAUUCGUAGAUAUUGGGAAGAACACCGGUUGCGAAGGCGGCUACCUGGACCGGUACUGACGCUAAGGUGCGAAAGCGUGGGGAGCAAACAGGAUUAGAAACCCCAGUAGUCC
rnacentral:rRNA from 1 species